rnacentral:rRNA from 1 species
GACGAACGCUGGCGGCGUGCUUAACACAUGCAAGUCGAACGAAGUGGCGAACGGGUGAGUAACGCGUAAUCAAACUGCCCUUCAGAGGGGGACAACAGUUGGAAACGACUGCUCAUACCGCAUACUGACGGAGGGGCUUGCGUCUGAUUAGCUAGUUGGAGGGGUAACGGCCCACCAAGGCGAUGAUCAGUAGCCGGUCUGAGAGGAUGAACGGCCACAUUGGGACUGAGACACGGCCGCGACUCCUACGGGAGGCAGCAGUGGGGAAUAUUGGACAAUGGGCGAAAGCCUGAUCCAGCCAUGCCGCGUGUGUGAAGAAGGUCUUCGGAUUGUAAAGCACUUUAAGGUGGGAGGCGUUACCAACAGAAUAAGCACCGGCUAACUUCGUGCCAGCCGCCGCGGUAAUUC